rnacentral:rRNA from 1 species
CAGUCGACGCUUCUUUUUCCCCGGAGCUUGCUCCACCGGAAAAAGAGGAGUGGCGAACGGGUGAGUAACACGUGGGUAACCUGCCCAUCAGAAGGGGAUAACACUUGGAAACAGGUGCUAAUACCGUAUAACAAUCGAAACCGCAUGGUUUUGAUUUGAAAGGCGCUUUCGGGUGUCGCUGAUGGAUGGACCCGCGGUGCAUUAGCUAGUUGGUGAGGUAACGGCUCACCAAGGCGACGAUGCAUAGCCGACCUGAGAGGGUGAUCGGCCACAUUGGGACUGAGACACGGCCCAAACUCCUACGGGAGGCAGCAGUAGGGAAUCUUCGGCAAUGGACGAAAGUCUGACCGAGCAACGCCGCGUGAGUGAAGAAGGUUUUCGGAUCGUAAAACUCUGUUGUUAGAGAAGAACAAGGAUGAGAGUAACUGUUCAUCCCUUGACGGUAUCUAACCAGAAAGCCACGGCUAACUACGUGCCAGCAGCCGCGGUAAUACGUAGGUGGCAAGCGUUGUUCGGAUUUAUUGGGCGUAAAGCGAGCGCAGGCGGUUUCUUAAGUCUGAUGUGAAAGCCCCCGGCUCAACCGGGGAGGGUCAUUGGAAACUGGGAGACUUGAGUGCAGAAGAGGAGAGUGGAAUUCCAUGUGUAGCGGUGAAAUGCGUAGAUAUAUGGAGGAACACCAGUGGCGAAGGCGGCUCUCUGGUCUGUAACUGACGCUGAGGCUCGAAAGCG